AUUGAACGCUGGCGGCAGGCCUAACACAUGCAAGUCGAGCGGAUGAAGGGAGCUUGCUCCUGGAUUCAGCGGCGGACGGGUGAGUAAUGCCUAGGAAUCUGCCUGUUAGUGGGGGAUAACGUCCGGAAACGGGCGCUAAUACCGCAUACGUCCUUAGGGAGAAAGUGGGGGAUCUUCGGACCUCCCGCUAUCAGAUGAUCCUAGGUCGGAUUAGCUAGUUGGUGGGGUAAAGGCCUACCAAGGCGACGAUCCGUAACUGGUCUGAGAGGAUGAUCAGUCACACUGGAACUGAGACACGGUCCAGACUCCUACGGGAGGCAGCAGUGGGGAAUAUUGGACAAUGGGCGAAAGCCUGAUCCAGCCAUGCCGCGUGUGUGAAGAAGGUCUUCGGAUUGUAAAGCACUUUAAGUUGGGAGGAAGGGCAGUAAGUUAAUACCUUGCUGUUUUGACGUUACCAACAGAAUAAGCACCGGCUAACUUCGUG
rnacentral:rRNA from 1 species